AUUAUGGCGGAAAGAAUGCGUUUUAAUUUUAUCACAUUUUGUAAAAAGGAGCAAGUAUAUUUCUCGGCGCUGACAUUCAUUCUUCCGUAGCUCUUUUCUUUUGUUACAACGAGCAUAUCAGACUUUCCCGGAGAAUCGUGAUCGUGUGGUAUUUUUGUAUUUAAUUUUUUUAAUUCACACCGAUCUAUUUUCGAUAUUCCUUAUUUUUUUUAGGAAGCCCAAAGUCACGAGGAGGAUCCCCCAGCUACUGCUGGUCGUGCAAGAAAAAGAGAGUCCUUUUUUUGUGGCGUUUGAGACAGACUCAAACAAGCGUAACCAGAUGGAUAGACGGUACAUGAAGUCUAUGCAAACAAAAAUGCAAGAAUGGUAUGCUAGGACUAAGCUGUCAGCACUCUGCUUUGCAUUUUGGAAAGGCCAGUUCUGGAUUGCAACAGGUUUAAUGCUUUGACAGUUUAAGGCACUGAUUGAUGUUAUUUACAGCCCACAGUAUAUUUUAAGGUAUGGAAGAUAUGGAA